UGGUUGAUCCUGCCAGUAGUCAUAUGCUUGUCUCAAAGAUUAAGCCAUGCAUGUCUAAGUACACACUUUGGUAAAGUGAAACCGCGAAUGGCUCAUUAAAUCAGCUACAAUUUAUUAGAUCGUACACUGUUACUUGGAUAACUGUGGGAAUUCUAGAGCUAAUACAUGCCGAGAGUCUCUGCUCUUCGGGGCAGAGCGCAGUUAUUAGACCAAAACCAGCCGUAUUCUUCGGGGUACGCUCUUUUGGUGACUCUGGAUAACCUUCAGCCGAUCGCAUGGCCUCGUGCCGUCGACGUAUCUUUCAAGUGUCUGCCCUAUCAACUUUCGAUGGUACGUGAUAUGCCUACCAUGGUGAUAACGGGUAACGGGGAAUCAGGGUUCGAUUCCGGAGAGGGAGCCUGAGAAAUGGCUACCACAUCCAAGGAUGGCAGCAGGCGCGCAAAUUACCCACUCCCAGCUUGGGGAGGUAGUGACGAAAAAUAACAAUGCGGGACUCUAAGAGGCCCCGUAAUUGGAAUGAGUACACCUUAAAUCGUUUAACGAGUAUCAAUUGGAGGGCAAGUCUGGUGCCAGCAGCCGCGGUAAUUCCAGCUCCAAUAGCGUAUAUUAAAGUUGCUGCAGUUAAAAAGCUCGUAGUUGGAUCUGGGGCUUGAGGUCGCUGUCUAUCGUUUCGGCGAUGACGGUGAUGCUCAGCUCUGCUUGCCGGUGACUGUUGCGGUGUUCUUCACUGAGCGCUGUAGCAGCACGGCACGUUUACUUUGAAAAAAUUAGAGUGCUCAAAGCGUGCUUGUCGCUUGAAUAAUGUUGCAUGGAAUAAUGGAAUAGGACCUCGGUUCUAUUUUGUUGGUUUUCGGAGCUUGAGGUGAUGAUUAAGAGGGACGAACGGGGGCAUUCGUAUUGCGGUGUUAGAGGUGAAAUUCUUGGAUCGCCGCAAGACGGACUACUGCGAAAGCAUUUGCCAAGAACGCUUUCAUUAAUUAAGAACGAAAGUCAGAGGUCCGAAGACGAUCAGACACCGUCCUAGUUCUGACCAUAAACGAUGCCGACCAGCGAUCCGUAGUGGUUGCUUUAUGGACCCUACGGGCAGCCUCCGGGAAACCAAAGUAUUUGGGUUCCGGGGGAAGUAUGGUUGCAAAGCUGAAACUUAAAGGAAUUGACGGAAGGGCACACCAGGAGUGGAGCCUGCGGCUUAAUUUGACCCAACACGGGAAAACUCACCCGGUCCGGACACCGUAAGGAUUGACAGACUGAUAGCUCUUUCUUGAUUCGGUGGAUGGUGGUGCAUGGCCGUUCUUAGUUGGUGGAGUGAUUUGUCUGGUUAUUCCGAUAACGAACGAGACUCUAGCCUGCUAAGUAGUG
rnacentral:rRNA from 1 species